UACGUAGGGUGCAAGCGUUGUCCGGAAUUAUUGGGCGUAAAGAGCUCGUAGGCGGCUUGUCGCGUCGGCUGUGAAAACCUGGGGCUCAACCCCGGGCCUGCAGCCGAUACGGGCAAGCUAGAAUUCGGUAGGGGAGACUGGAAUUCCUGGUGUAGCGGUGAAAUGCGCAGAUAUCAGGAGGAACACCAAUGGCGAAGGCAGCUCGCUGGGACGGUACUGACACUGAGACGCGAAAGCGUGGGGAGCAAACAGG
rnacentral:rRNA from 1 species